UACGUAGGGGGCUAGCGUUGUCCGGAUUUAUUGGGCGUAAAGAGCGUGUAGGCGGCCUGGUAGGUCUGCUGUGAAAACUCGAGGCUCAACCUCGAGAUGUCGGCGGAAACCAUCUGGCUAGAGUCCGGAAGAGGAGAGUGGAAUUCCUGGUGUAGUGGUGAAAUGCGCAGAUAUCAGGAGGAACACCGGUGGCGAAGGCGGCAUCCUGGACCAACACUGACGCCGAGGAGCGAAAGCCAGGGGAGCAAACGGG
rnacentral:rRNA from 1 species